ACCUCUUUUUUUUUUUUUUUUUUUUUUUUUUUUUUUUUCUCUUUAUAUAUGGUGCUUUGUAGGGAUGGAACUUGACGGACGGUGAGCUGCAGUCGAGGCUUCAUGACCGGCUAGUCGUUUGACGGCGGUUUAUUGAAGUUCUUCGUUGUUGUUUGUCACUGACGGAGAGAAGGCCUUUGGGUGUGAGUUGACAAACUUUGGUUUUGUCAAUCACAUUCAAAAGCAGCAGUCAUGGCGGAGGUGCAGAAGCAGCUGGAGCUUGAGGUAGAAUGCAAGGCAUUGAGCUUCACUACCGGCUAGUCGUUUGACGGCGGUUUAUUGAAGUUCUUCGUCGUUGUUGUUUGUUACGGACGGAGAGAAGGCCUUUGGGUGUGAGUUGACAAACUUUGGUUUUGUCAAUCUCAUUCAAAGGCAGCAACCAUGGCGGAGGUGCAGAAGCAGCUGGAGCUUGAGGUAGAAUGCAAGGCAUUGAGCUUCACUACCGGCUAGUCGUUUGACGGCGGUUUAUUGAAGUUCUUCGUCGUUGUUGUUUGUUACGGACGGAGAGAAGGCCUUUGGGUGUGAGUUGACAAACUUUGGUUUUGUCAAUCACAUUCAAAGGCAGCAACCAUGGCGGAGGUACCCUGUAAGCUUAGCUGCUGUAAAAGUUUUUCCACGAGCAGGCAAACCAACCAGGACAAUUGCCAAAUGUUUAUCUUCCUUUGGUCCAAGCAUUUGAUCAGCUACGGCUGCAGCCGC
rnacentral:lncRNA from 1 species